GAGAUGUCGCCAAGUGGUAAGGCUGCAGGUUUUGAUCUUGUUAUUCAGAGGUUCGAAUCCUUCCAUCCA